rnacentral:rRNA from 1 species
AUUGAACUCUGGCGGCAGGCCUAACACAUGCAAGUCGAGCGAGCGGCGGACGGGUGCGUAAUGUCUGGGAAACUGCCUGCUGGAGGGGGAUAACUACUGGAAACCGUAGCUAAUACCGCAUACCACAGCAUCUGCCCAGAUGGGAUUAUCUAGUAGGUGGGGUAAAGGCUCACCUAGGCGACGAUCCCUAGCCGGUCUGAGAGGAUGACCAGCCACACUGGAACUGAGACACGGUCCAGACGCCUACGGGAGGCAGCAGUGGGGAAUAUUGCACAAUGGGCGCAAGCCUGAUGCAGCCAUGCCGCGUGUAUGAAGAAGGCCUUCGGGUUGUAAAGUACUUUCAGCGGGGAGGCGUUACCCGCAGAAGAAGCACCGACUAACUCCGUGCCAGCAGCCGCGGUAAUAC